AUUGUUUUGGCAGAAUUUAUGCAAUAAAUUUAGGAUUUAUUUAUGUAAUUUUUUUACAAACAAUA
rnacentral:tRNA from 1 species